rnacentral:rRNA from 1 species
UACGUAGGGAGCAAGCGUUGUCCGGAAUCAUUGGGCGUAAAGCGCGCGUAGGUGGCCCGGUAAGUCCGCUCUGAAAGUCAAAGGCUCAACCUUUGAAAGCGGGUGGAUACUGCCAGGCUAGAGUCCGGAAGAGGCGAGUGGAAUUCCUGGUGUAGCGGUGGAAUGCGCAGAUAUCAGGAGGAACACCCGUAGCGAAGGCGGCACUCUGGGCCGAUACUGACACUGAGGAGCGAAGGCGUGGGGAGCGAACAGG